rnacentral:lncRNA from 1 species
UGCACUGCGUCAUCACUCAGGUGUCCUUGCUGUGAUCCCCCCUCUCCCCUGGCUUCUUCCCAACACUGUGUCUGAAGUGGCCUUGUGCCCUCACACACCAAAGGCCUGCCACAGGCAGAGCAAAGCAUAAGCCUCUGACUGUGAUGCUCCAGGAGUCCACCCAGUCUCCUUAUGAAGUCUAUAGUUCUGGGUAAGAGAAGAAAAGCUGGAACUGAGGGCCAAGGAUGGGACAGGGUAGGAACACAAAGUAAGACAAGAACAAAAACUCUGAUGAGGAACUGAGGCACUCCUUCUCACUUGUGGGCCCCAAUGCAGUCAGGAAAGCAAAUGAACACCCACACCAGUCUCUUUUGUUCCAGGAAAUUAAAGUAGACUUCUUGGUUCAGUCACGGUUGCUACUGUUGCUACUCUCUUACACAUCUAUUCUGCAGGACCACUGGGAAAAGACUCUAAGUGUGGGCACCCAGGAGGGGCCUUGUCACCCCAACCAAUCAAUACAGGAUGACUUUGUGUCAGGAUUAAAGCCAAGGACACAUGGGCACACUAAAAUUAAUACAUUACACAACUGCACAAAAGACAUUGUGUGACCGGGGUCUUCCCGCUGCAAGGCCAGGAAAGCAGCUGAACCAAAGGAUGCUUAGGGGUGGGGAGGGGGCUGCUACAAAAAGGGAAGCGCUAAGGAAAGUUUGGGAGAAAAGAAAGUAUCAGUUUGAUCAGGAGCGGGCACUCAGAGAGCAAGGCUGCUGCUUUCUGUGAGAUUUUACAACGUAGGGUUCCUGGCACUGUCUUCCCUAAGGGGCCCUGUUCUCUGGGACCUUCCCCAGCACUCUGGGUGUAAGGGGCAGCCCUGGUGUACAGCCACUCACCCCUGACAUUUGCUCUGAAGGUCGUAGAUCUCCUCCACUUGCACCCCCUUGACACCUGCGAUGAGGAAAGGAAAGCAGUAGGGAAGGACAGCCCCUGAUGAGUGAGGGCGCAGGGGUGGGCCG